UACGUAGGGUGCAAGCGUUGCCCGGAUUUAUUGGGCGUAAAGGGCGCGCAGGCGGCUACGCACGUCCGUUGUGAAAUCGCUCGGCUCAACUGGGCGGGGUCGGCGGAUACGGCGUAGCUGGAGCAAGCUAGGGGGCAAUGGAAUUCCCGGUGUAGUGGUGGAAUGCGUAGAUAUCGAGAGGAACACCAGUGGCGAAGGCGGUUGCCUGGAGCUUUGCUGACGCUGAGGCGCGAAAGCGUGGGGAGCGAUCCGG
rnacentral:rRNA from 1 species